rnacentral:rRNA from 1 species
UAAGUAGAUAGUGAAUGACGGGCGUCAACCUCGUGUCCAUUAUCUAACUGCUAAGCUAGAGCAUGAUAGAGGUAGCUGGAAUUCCCUGUGUAGGAGUGAAAUCCGUAGAUAUAGGGAGGAACACCGAUGGCGUAGGCAGGCUACUGGAUCAUUGCUGACGCUCAGGCACGGAAGCGUGGGAGCGACCGGAUUAGAUACCCCGUUAGUCCACGCCGUAAACGAUGGAUGCUA